AGUUAACCAAUCGCGAUGCUUCGUAUAAUCCUGCUGAUAAGGUGCAGGAGUCUCUACCUGGAGCCGUAAAUUCCAGAUUACGAAGAGUUAAGUGCCUAGC
rnacentral:ncRNA from 1 species